rnacentral:rRNA from 1 species
UAUCGAACGGCGUAGCUACAGGCUUAACACAUGCAAGUCGAGGGGCAGCGACGAGUGUAGCAAUACAUGGGCGGCGACCGGCGCACGGGUGCGUAACGCGUAUCCAACCCUCCCGUUACUCAGGGAUAGCCUUCCGAAAGGGAGAUUAAUACCUGAUGGUGUUCAAAUUCCGCAUGUUAUUUGAACUAAAGAUUCAUCGGUAACGGAUGGGGAUGCGUGACAUUAGGUAGAUGGCGGGGUAACGGCCCACCAUGCCUUCGAUGUCUAGGGGUUCUGAGAGGAAGGUCCCCCACACUGGAACUGAGACACGGUCCAG